UCGUAUAUUUUUUUUUCAUCGCUGCGUACGGUCGGAUUGAGUAAGCAUGAUGUGCACAUGCGCGGUAAGCCGUUGUGCGGGUUUUCGUUGCUUUGUAAGGCGAAUCGUAAUCAUUUAUAAGGGCAGCUAUUAGCCGAGGUUGACAGGUAUGCAGACACUCAAUUAGGGAG